UGGCCAUGGUUGUGUGGAAGACUAGUGAUUUUGUUGUUCUUUAAUUGAGUAACAAGGAAUCACUAAUCAUCCUACAAAGAUGGCUG
rnacentral:pre_miRNA from 1 species